rnacentral:lncRNA from 1 species
CCACACUUUAAUGCAUUUUCUGGAAUAGCAUGGUCUUUAUAGUAAAACAUUAUGUUCUAUGAGGAAAGUGGAUAGCAGUGCCUUUUUAAUAUUGUUUGGGACAACACUGGAAGACUGAAGACCAGAGUGAUUUUGUCAUGAAGGCUACAAUCAGAGCUCAUUACUAAGUAAUUACUCAUUACUUACUCAAGACUAUGCCACUGAGUAAGAAUGAGUCACAAAAUGAAAGUUGGUCCUAUGGGAAAUAUGAACAAAGCAGGAAACUAGUCUAUAAGUGAAAUAUGCAGUAGACAGAGUGAAAAUAUAAAAUAUUGAAUAUAAGAAGAUCUUAGUGAGCCACAGCUUAUUAUGGUGUUUGACUUUUGUGCUCUGCAAGACAACCAUAAAGGGUUAAAUCAUUAGACCCAAGGAAGGCAGGUAUGUUAGUAUCAUAUCUUUUCUGUCUUUUACUUUUCUCUUUCUUUCUUCCUUCCUUUCUUUCUUUCUCCUCAAUUUUGGUGAAUAGCUGCAUAAAAUUCAUAAACUCUUUUCACAGUAUCAAAAAUAGAAGCAUAAUUUAUUGGGAAAUCACAUAGCGCUGUGAUAUGCUGUGUUAUUAUUUUUGCUAACCUAGUUUUCACAAUCAGAUUGUAAAUUUUGAUAAUCUAUGUGGAGAUUUGGAUACUCUGACACCUUUCAUAGAAGUUUGAGUGGAAGACAGUGGAACCUGCUAUGGAGGAGUUUCAUUUUCGACGGGAUCCAGUGUAUUCCUGGCCUAUGUAAGAAGAUUUCAUUACUGUACAUUUAUUUUCCACUAUGCCUCUGGCCAUGCUCUUCAAAUAGAGAAAGAAAAUUCAAGUCUAGCUACUUAGAAUGAAUACAUUUCUAUAAUGUAGAAACCCCAAGAAGGCUGCUUGGUUUGAAUUUCAAAUCCUUUCUGUGUCAUUUUGUUGUAUGACUUUUCUUGACAAUAGUGUAUCUGAACACUCCUGCAUAUAAGAUCUUAAAUGAUAAUACAUAUUUCCUAUAAUAAUUCAAUCACUCCAUCAAUGGAAGAAAAGCGAGAGGAUAAGAAAAAAAGGAAAAAACAAACCUACAUUUAACACCCAGAUGUGAUGGGUAUUGAAACAUUCACAACGGUGUCUUCCUAUUCAGUGACUAAUUCAUGCCCACAGAAAUGUUACAGUAAUUCUAAAGGAUUCUGAAAAUAGCACCUAUGUUAUCAACCUCAAUAAAUAAGCUGCCAGGAGUUGAACA